CACACAACCUCUGUAUGCAGCACCUCCUCACGUCAUUCACCACACCACAGUGGUGCAGCCCAAUGGCAUGCCAGCGACCGUCUACCCUGCUCCCAUCCCUCCUCCUAGAGGCAGCGGGGUCACCAUGGGCAUGGUUGCUGGGACCACAAUGGCCAUGUCAGCAGGUACCCUGCUGACUGCUCAUUCUCCAACUCCUGUAGCCCCUCACCCAGUCACUGUCCCCACAUACCGAGCCCCAGGAACACCCACCUACAGCUAUGUGCCCCCGCAGUGGUGAUCACCCUGCAAAUUAAUAUGUGAGGAUGGAGCUGUGCAGUCACUUCAUUGAGUCCCACAGCUGGUGCUGCAGGCCUUGUGCCUCCAACCAGGACUUUCUUCUUAAUGCUCUCGACACUUAGCUAAACAUGACUGCGUCCCAGCCCAGCAGGUCCCAGCUCGCUAGUCUCCAGCUAACUCUGUGGGUUGGUUUUAAAGCAAAUCCUGUUUGUGGACUGCCUGGCAAAUUUUUUAGCUAACUGUAAUGAUAAAAAAGGGAGUAUUAUUCUAUUCUGAAUCAUAUCUAGUUGAAUGCAUGUUUAUAAAAACAAACAAAAAAGCUUGCUCAAUCUACCUGCAGUGACUGAUGCAAAACCCAAAGGACGGGACCGUGUUCUACAGCCUGUGUCACUCACGCACCUCUGUCAUGUAUGCUGAGUCUCAGUUACACUCGUGCAAGGGAUGUCCUCACUGAAGCGUCGGGAGUGCUGGAGGGGACUCUUAGGGUGCUGGGUUUGCCAGUUAUGGACAUAGACUUAGAGUUUUCAGCAGCCUGGUUUUUUUGGCACUGACUGACUGAUCCUGGAGGGAGCCGCAGGGACUGGGAGAGAAUGUGAGCCUGCAGCAGCUCCAGACAGCAGCAGCAGCAGGGAUAGUAGGGUCCCUGCUUCACUUCAGCUGGAGUGUGCUCUGGGAAGCAGGGGUCUACCUGAAGCUUAGCAGGAAGUCUAGGAGCGUGGUGAGCAGUCCAGCUGGGGUGAAGCGAGGUCUGUGUGUCAGUAGAGCAGUGUCUGCCAUCUGAGUUCCCACUGUCUGUCUUACAGGAUAAUGUCUUUUGUAUCUGUUGGGACUGUUGGAAAAGUCCAUUGUAGAAGUAAACUGUCUUCCUAGGAGGGAAGAAGUCAAAGAGAAGAGGCAGCCGCACUGGAACGGUGGUGUCUUUUGCUUUAUUUCGCUUAGGGAACCAUUCCUAAUGUCCCCUGAGAAUAAUGAGUCAGCUGAAAAUACAGGCGCUGUGUACUCUCCCAUAAAGACUGAAGCUGGGUGCUGUGGAGCGCGUUGUACAUGGAAGACUGGUUACAAGGGAAUAAGUGUAUUUUUAAGUUAGUUC
rnacentral:lncRNA from 1 species